ensembl:lncRNA
CGACCUCUGAGGUCACGGUGCAGAAGGUCAUUUUGGCCUUCGGCAUUAACAACCGUGUCCAAAAAACGCAGGAGACGGCCAUCAAACAGCUGCAGAGGGCCCUCCGAAGCGUUAGACUGACUUUUCCAUCUGCUGACGUUUUUGUGCCACAGGUCAACUUCUCCGGAGAUCUUCCCCCGAAGGAGAAACUGCGCCUCACACAUCUGAACACUGCUAUUGCGAGAAUGUGUGAGUACAUCCCAGCGCUGCCAGCAGGUCUCUUCCACACAGGUCCGGAUAACAUCCACUGGACCCGAGCCACAGCUGCCCGCAUAUUUGACAAUUGGGUUCACUACUUAAACUAAUUGUCCCCAUAAACCUGCCUACUCAGGAGGGGGAUAAGUUAGUCAUCAACCUCACUAAGAACUUUAAACUCACUGAAGCACAGCGCACUCUCCUUGGCAGGGGGUUAAAUUUUAUUCCCACUAAGGGAACUAAUAAACAGAUUGUAGAGCAGAGCCGCUUUGAUCUACAGCAGUAUCACAGGAGGUCUCUUCCACACAGGUCCGGAUAACAUCCACUGGACCCGAGCCACAGCUGCCCGCAUAUUUGACAAUUGGGUUCACUACUUAAACUAAUUGUCCCCAUAAACCUGCCUACUCAGGAGGGGGAUAAGUUAGUCAUCAACCUCACUAAGAACUUUAAACUCACUGAAGCACAGCGCACUCUCCUUGGCAGGGGGUUAAAUUUUAUUCCCACUAAGGGAACUAAUAAACAGAUUGUAGAGCAGAGCCGCUUUGAUCUACAGCAGUAUCACAGGAGGUUAAAGCUGGCGGCUUAUUUUGAAAACUCGAGAGAGUGUGAACGACUCCCGUUCAUUUAUAAAUCGUCCUG